UUUAUACAUACGCGCAUGGUUCGAAAAAAUACUUUUCAUGAAAUAUUUUAAACGUUUUUUUUUUUCAGCAUGAACUGAAACUUCAAAUUAUAGAGCAACAGAUAAAAGAUAAAGAAAAUGAGCUUCGGCUUAUGCUAAAUCUUAGAUCUGCGGGAAAACAAAAUAAUCUUAAAGAGGACUUCUUGCUUGAUCUACAGAUAAAUGUUAUUGCUAAAAAUGGUGAAAAAAGUGCUGAAGGGAAUCAACGAGUUUAUGAAGUAAUGAGAGAAUAUAUUAAAGAUAACGAUAUG